rnacentral:lncRNA from 1 species
AACAAAACCGUUGGCCUUGUUUGUAAUGAACAAAAGUGUGUGUUUGUGAGCUUUUGGCAAACUAUGACUGUGGUAGCAUCAUCGGCUAAAUCCUAAGCUGCCGGUUUUUCUCCAUAACCAGAUGUUAGCUCCAUUAUAGGGCCACGAUUUCGGUAUUUUCCUGUCUCGCGCCAUGCAUGAACAAGGUCGUCUCGGUAGAAGCUAACGUAAACACCGAUUCUCCUAACAGACAUGGUACAGGCAAAAACUUAAUGAGGGAAACAACCGUUUAGCGAACCUUGUUGGAGUUCGAAUGUGCCUCGUACUUCAAAACUUCAACAACUCGAUGGCAAACAACAAGUUGUAUAUUAAUAGCUGCAACUGUAGUCAAAGAACCGAUGUAAUCCUGACAUCGAGAAGCCACAUGAAGCGCGUUCGGCUGCGGUUGAGCGCUUCUGCGAAGCCACCGCAUGAAGCCCACUAACAACAGGUAGUAAAAAACGUUAGACUGACAAUUUCUACGCUUCAGCCAGCCAAAGCAAUCCGAGCCAGGCGAAUGAGGGCAUGUUGUGAAGACUUUUCCGACAGGGCAAUGCGCAUAUAUAAUUUGUGAGCGAGCAAAAUGGCAACGAAGCUUACGCUGUUCCUAGCUUGUCUGGUCCUUGAUUUCAAGCUGCACGUACGUGUAAAGGCAAUACAAUGCAGAUAAAAACCGGAUAUGAACGAAUGAUGGUUUCAUUCCCACAAUAGGUUCGGGCAGUAUCCGACGAAGUAACACGCGAUGGCUAACGUACACCAAAGCUGAAGGUCCUUUAUGAGCACUGGCGUGCUUGGUAUACUAUGCGCCAGCUCCCUGUAAUUGGUAUCAUUCAGUAGUUGGCCUCAAUCUGCGAAGCGGCUUUCCCAAUCAAACGUGAUGUCAUCAGCAUAUGGGCACUGGCAACACUUUUCUACGAAAGUACCUCCUAUACUCGCCGCAGCUCCUGUUCUGAACGCGUCCGUUCGGCCUUACCGCAUUGAAGCUCACGCAGACAUUAAAGCCUCACACAAGUUGCUUUUCGUUAGCAGCUACACACAUGUGGAUAUGACGACCUUCAUACGUAUCUCUUAGAGGAAGCUAGACUCUUCCAAUGCUACUCGAGAUAGAAUUCUGUGCGCAAUGACGAUUUGCUGCGGUUUCCUAGCAAUGAGAAAGGAAAUUUGUGGAUCCGUCGCAACAAAAAAGAAUCAACGCGCUGAACGGGAAACGUCUAUAACCCUCGUCCCGGAAUAGGGUUCUCUCUGAGAAAGUCACUCACUUCCAUCCCAAUGGCCAGGUAUCUGUUGCAAACGUAGUGCUAUGGCAAAUGGGGCAUAAUUGCACCGUGGGCAGGUGACUAACCAGCCCAUAGGGUGUUUAAUCAACUACGAAAAACAAGCAAAAGCGAACCAAUAAAGGAUUCACUGUAAUAGGCGCAAACAUUUAUGACGUAAUACUGCCUAACGCGUGGCUAUCCGCUCUCUAUUCAGAAUAGUCUGAGAGCGGCAAUCAAGGACUUUAACGGAUUCUCAGUCUGCUAGAGCUUCCAAAUAAACAGGAGAUACCUCUAAAUCGUGACGGGCUAAGGCGGAAAAGGUGCUCUUUAAAGCGAAAUGCUUUAGCCUGCAAGAAAAGGGAAUGACUUAGCGUUAGGUUAAGAUAAACUACCGUAGCUAGUAAGGAAACUUACACGCGUGCGAACGCAUACACGGGCUCUAUAGUUAAAGUGGGCUAUAAAUUGUGUGCAACAAUAGAAGGGCACCCAUAGAGGAAAAGAACGUAUAGGUGUUGGGAUUUCCGUCUCCCUAACCAGAAAUGGGCUUAAACAAGGGCAUGCAAGUGAAGUGCAUGCAAAAAGAACAACAAUCCAAAUCAUUGGCACAAACACGGCGAUAACUAUCGUCGCUAGAGGGCACCUUUGUGUACUUGCCGAAGUUUCGAGAAACGGUGAGCGAGCGCGCGCGGGCUAAAGGGACGGUGGCGGACACAGAUUACCGCCGCAUGUGGCGCUAGCGCUCAGCAUCUAUAUGUCGACGAGGGUCUAGAGUGACUGCAGAAUCGUACUGAAAGGCUAGCAGCGUUAGUCCUAGUUGUCUGACGGCUGCUCUAACUCCCAAAAGCGAGUCAUGAAUGCUAAGUGCGCCUACGUACAGCUUGUGCAUUGGAUUCGGUUUCUCUGAAAUCCAACACUAUAAGCAUAGCUGCGGCAUUGCUGACGGUGGCCGCCACCACCACCGAGAUAGUGAGAGAUUCUCAAAGUAAGCUUAUACAAGUAACGUUAGGGCAUUGAUGGAGUUGCGGGGCGGUGGGGUGGAGGCACUUAGAGACACGCCGAAUCGCUCUUGACCUGGUAACGCUACGUUUACUGUUGUCGUACAAUUCAGCUAUUAUGAUAGGUUUGGUGCCAGAUGGUGGCUCUACCACGGGCUUUAUACAACACCGCAAUCGAUGCACAGUUAGGAUAGUAUUGGAUUAGAUUGCGUAGGAAACUUGCGCGAUGGGACAAGAGACCACUUAAUGCGGAAAUGCCUUUAUCAAGCCCACGGGAGUAGUCUUCGAUGUUGACGGCGCUUCGGAUACCGCAUGGCAGUAGCUUCGCAAGGCUAGAUAGUUAUACUGAUGAAGAGGAAGAUGAAAAGCUCAAUGAAGGUCCGAAAGAGGAAUUUAAAUGCUGCAAGUUUUAGCUAACUAGAGGUACGAGAAAUACAUUUCUCUAUAAACACGACACCAUCCAAGGAUACAAAGUUUGUCACAAUCUAUUGGUGCGGUGACUGUCUUUUCGACCCGGAACGUGGAUGACGGACAAAUUGUCGAACCGUAGAGUGGAUUUAAUGGCAGUAUUAAUACGUUAGUAAUAAUGCUACAUUGUCUUGCCGGUUUGCGUAGAAACAAGAUUCAAAUGUGUGCGGGUUAAUUCAAUGAUUCACAAGAAAACAGAUUAGCAUUUCUCAGCCACUGGUGGUUCACCUAUCAGUAUAAGUUCUUUCGCAUCUGCUCGAUAAUGUCCCGACAACCUGCCUUCGUAUGCUCAAAGAGUGGCUCGCACAAAACCGUUUACUUUCUGAACAAACUUCGUGCAGUCGUAUGCGAUAACAGGUAAUAUAUUAAAAUGGAGUUGCCAGUUUUUCCCUAACUCGCAUUUACAAACAAGUUUCUCUGUUUGCUGCGUUUGCUUCAAUCGUCUGCUCACAAAAAGCCCGGUUACGUUAGUCCUAAGCUUUUCAGGUUGCACUGGGAAUCUACUUAGAAAUAAACACCUGUGUUACACAC